ACUUAAAAAUAUCCUACUGCCGCGGUAUGUAAUUUUUGUUAAUUAAUGAAAAAAUAUAUUGUAUUUUUCUUCAUUUCGUGUAUGAAUAGUGUCCAUUAAAACGUCAGCAGUGGAUAAACUCGUUAACAACAGAAUUAAACAACCGUCAGUAUGUUUGUGAUUUGCAUUUUCAAAAUGAUGCAAUUCAAAAUUCUUAUCUCACAAAUUUACCAAACGGUGAAGUUAACAAAAUCGUAAAAGGUAGAAUAACACGUAUCCCGGGAUCAGUUGCAUUGAUAGUCAAUGUCAAACAAUCUUCAAUUAUUGGUGACUGUAAAAUCCAAGCUUUGAAUGAGACAUCAAAGAUACGUCAAUUAAUCGAUGAGCAACAUGAACAAAACCUGCAGUUUCAAGCUAUUGGAGAACACCAGGGUCAAUUGUUGUAUGAGAUAUCAGAGAAGCCUAAAUCACUACAUGAGAAACAUGAACAAAAUCAACAGCAACAAGUAAUUGAAGAGGACCGAGAUCAAUCGUUGAAUAAGACAUCGGAGGAGCUUGGAUCACUACAUGAACAAGAUCAGCAGCAGCAGCCAGUUAUUGAAGAACACCAGGACCAAUCUUCAAAUGAAACAUUUGAGAAGCCUAAGUCAGUAACUGAACAAGAUCAGCAGCAGUAAGCAAUCGAAGAACAAUUUAACUUUGAUGACGUGAGAAUAGAAAACCAGGAGCAAUCACAUCACAAGAAUCAAGAAAAUGAACAAAUCAAUAACAUUUUACCGCAAUAUAGAUUACCAGUGAAACGGAAAUUAAAAUAUCCUGAUGAAAAUGAAACGUUAAAGCGUCAAAAAUAUUCUGAGCAUGAUAUUGAUAUUAACCGUCAAAUAAAUUUUGAUAAUGAUACUGAAGUUAUGGUCAUCAUUAUUGAGCUGAACAAGUUGUUCCCAAUUGGUUGGAGCUUUGUAAUUGGUAUUAAUCAAUUAAUAGCAAUUCAGUUUGAUCGUAUUAAAUUUAAAGAAAGAGUACGGUUGAUCCUAAAUGACGAUCAAUUUGCAUCGGUUACAUUUUUAGAAAAUUAUAAAAAAGAAAUUGAUGGACAAAUAAAAUCAGUCAAUGAUUUAAUUGAAUGUUUAAGAUCUAUGGAACAAAAAAAAUUAUGCACUAGAACUGGAUUUGAUAAAAAAAGUUAUUCAUUAAAAUGUCAUGCUGACGUGACUGAAAAAUACAAACGUUGCCAAGCUUGUCCGAGAUGUCAAGAAUGUCAAAAACUACGUUUAAAUUUACAAAAAGUAGAAAAAGGUCGAAUCCUUAAUACUGAGAACAAAAUGAAAAGAAAAACUUCUAAAGCUACCAAUUUGGAAUUAUAUAAAAAACAAAACGUAUUCAACAACAGCUAAAAUUAUCUACAUUAAAAUUACGUAGUAUUCAAAGAAAAACAAAAACUGUGUAUGAAGGCCAAUUUAAUAAUAAAAUUUCUUUGCUACCAAAACAACAACAGACAACAGUGAGAAUGUGUUUUGAAAACUCCGAAAAGAAGGGCCCAACUGGCAGAAGAUAUGAAGUUGAAUGGAUUUAUGAAUGUCUUCUCAUACGAAUGAAAAGCACUUGUACGUACAAUAUGAUACAAGCAACAAAUAUAAUUCCUCUACCAACUAUUGACAAGUUAUCGAAGUAUAUACAAAAAAUUAGUUCGUUGAUCUUUAGAUUUUUACCCGAAACGUUUGACAUCCUACGGAAAAAAGGAGAAUCAAUGGCAUUUGAAGAUAAAAUUGGCCAAAUAUCAGCUGGUGAGGUUAAACUUAUGGAAAAUAUUGAGUUUAAUAAACAAAUAGCUGAGUAUACUGGUUUUGUUGAUCUUGGAAAGUAUACAUCUGAAUCUGAUAGUGACGUUCCUGGAGAUAAGGCUCUCGUUUUUAUGUUUGUACCGUAUCGGGGAAAUUCUGCUCAACCUUUAGGAUGCUUUAUCACUAAAAAUUGUAUAACUAGUGAAGUUCUUCAUAAGUUAUUUUUAGAAUGCAUUAUACAUGUAGAAAAUGCUGGUUUUCGUGUGAAUCCUCUAGUAACUGACGCUGCUCAAUGGAAUAGAGGAGUUUGGACGAAAUUAGGAGUUGACACAAAUAACAUCAGUUGUGAACAUCCAUGUGACUCUAGCCGUAGAUUAUAUAUGAUAUCAGACUUCCCACAUUUAGUAAAAUGUUUUCGAAAUGGAUUGGUUGAGUUAGAUGAAUUUGAGAUAAUUAUUGGACUAAUUUUUCCACAAUUUAGCAUAGAGUUUUUUUUAUGAAAAGCUAAAUAGUUUCUAAGUACGUUAUAUAAAUAACGUUGAAAAGCUGUCUUAUAUGUGAUAACUAACACCUGUAGGAGUAGUCAAAAAAAAAAUAUUGGGAAAAUCUUUUGCUAAUAUGAAAAACCUAAUUUGGCAACAACUUACAAACUAACACCUGCACAUUUAGAUCAUAAACUCUAUCAAAAAAUGUCUGUUCCAAUGGCUUAUCAGUUGUACUCACGCGAAGUUCGUUGUGCAAUGACGAUUUUACGAGAAAAUGGAAAUGAAAAAUUUGAAGGCUCAGAACCAACCGAGAAAUUUAUCAAAAUAAUUGAUGAUGGCAUCCAAGCUAUGACUUCGCACGAUGCUAAGAACGCACUAUACUUUAAGGAUACUUGUGAACAAAAGAAGAUGUCCUCAAGAGUCAAUAUCACCCGGGUCACCCACGUGCUGUUUUUUUGAGGCGUCAACUUUAAGCGACAAUAAUAAUAAUAAUAAUAAUAAUAAUAAAUUAUUUAAUAUUCUCAAAACAAUUUUUUUUUUCCUUCUAAAAAAAUCUAGGCAGCGGUUGGCCCUGCAGG